AGGUCUGGCCAGGAAACCUUCAAGUAGCAGCACUUUCCCUUUUAAGCAGUCUGGCUUCCAGACCCAGGAGAAAAUGCAGUGGAAGAGAAGAGCUGCUCUUCUGGGAAGCGACUUCUUUCUCAACGCUGAAGAGAGAAUCCUGGGGCAAUCUCAGGACAGGAAUUAUCAUCAUUGUUACAUUGGUCUCCAAAACCCAGGGUCCUGCUCUAGAUGGUUCUCCUGCUGAUAACCAGGAAAAUGUCAGGAGUGAGAAGAUCGGAUGGUGGUGAGCAAAGUGCCUGGUACCCUUUCUGGGAUGUUCUCC